rnacentral:rRNA from 1 species
CAAGUCGAACGGCAGCACGGGAGCAAUCCUGGUGGCGAGUGGCGAACGGGUGAGUAAUAUAUCGGAACGUGCCCAAUCGUGGGGGAUAACGCAGCGAAAGCUGUGCUAAUACCGCAUACGAUCUACGGAUGAAAGCGGGGGACUCAGCAAUGGGCCUCGCGCGAAUGGAGCGGCCGAUAUCAGAUUAGCUAGUUGGUGGGGUAAAGGCUCACCAAGGCGACGAUCUGUAGCGGGUCUGAGAGGAUGAUCCGCCACACUGGGACUGAGACACGGCCCAGACUCCUACGGGAGGCAGCAGUGGGGAAUUUUGGACAAUGGGGGAAACCCUGAUCCAGCCAUGCCGCGUGAGUGAAGAAGGCCUUCGGGUUGUAAAGCACUUUAAGUUGGGAGGAAGGGCAGUUACCUAAUACGUGAUUGUUUUGACGUUACCGACAGAAUAAGCACCGGCUAACUCUGUGCCAGCAGCCGCGGUAAU